rnacentral:rRNA from 1 species
GACGAACGCUGGCGGCGUGCCUAAUACAUGCAAGUAGAACGCUGAAGGAGGAGCUUGCUUCUCUGGAUGAGUUGCGAACGGGUGAGUAACGCGUAGGUAACCUGCCUGGUAGCGGGGGAUAACUAUUGGAAACGAUAGCUAAUACCGCAUAAUAGUAGAUGUUGCAUGACAUUUGCUUAAAAGUUGCACUUGCAUCACUACCAGAUGGACCUGCGUUGUAUUAGCUAGUUGGUGGGGUAACGGCUCACCAAGGCGACGAUACAUAGCCGACCUGAGAGGGUGAUCGGCCACACUGGGACUGAGACACGGCCCAGACUCCUACGGGAGGCAGCAGUAGGGAAUCUUCGGCAAUGGACGGAAGUCUGACCGAGCAACGCCGCGUGAGUGAAGAAGGGUUUCGGAUCGUAAAGCUCGGUUGUAAGAGAAGAACGAGUGUGAGAGUGGAAAGUUCACACUGUGACGGUAUCUUACCAGAAAGGGACGGCUAACUACGUG